CUACGGGAGGCUGCAGUGGGGAAUAUUGGACAAUGGGCGAAAGCCUGAUCCAGCCAUGCCGCGUGUGUGAAGAAGGCCUUCGGGUUGUAAAGCACUUUCAGUGGGGAAGAAAGCCUUGGGGCUAAUACCCUCGAGGAAGGACAUCACCCACAGAAGAAGCACCGGCUAACUCCGUGCCAGCAGCCGCGGUAAUACGGAGGGUGCGAGCGUUAAUCGGAAUUACUGGGCGUAAAGCGCGCGUAGGCGGUCUGAUAAGCCGGUUGUGAAAGCCCCGGGCUCAACCUGGGAACGGCAUCCGGAACUGUCAGGCUAGAGUGCAGGAGAGGAAGGUAGAAUUCCCGGUGUAGCGGUGAAAUGCGUAGAGAUCGGGAGGAAUACCAGUGGCGAAGGCGGCCUUCUGGACUGACACUGACGCUGAGGUGCGAAAGCGUGGGUAGCAAACAGGAUUAGAUACCCGGGUAGUC
rnacentral:rRNA from 1 species